rnacentral:sRNA from 1 species
AAUGGCGGCGGCGGCGGCGGCUGCUGCAGCUACGAACGGGACCGGAGGAAGCAGCGGGAUGGAGGUGGAUGCAGCAGUAGUCCCCAGCGUGAUGGCCUGUGGAGUGACUGGGAGUGUUUCCGUCGCUCUCCAUCCCCUUGUCAUUCUCAACAUCUCAGACCACUGGAUCCGCAUGCGCUCCCAGGAGGGGCGGCCUGUGCAGGUGAUUGGGGCUCUGAUUGGCAAGCAGGAGGGCCGAAAUAUCGAGGUGAUGAACUCCUUUGAGCUGCUGUCCCACACCGUGGAAGAGAAGAUUAUCAUUGACAAGGAAUAUUAUUACACCAAGGAGGAGCAGUGUGUGUGAGAUCAUCGAGAGCCCCCUGUUUCUGAAGUUGAACCCUAUGACCAAGCACACAGAUCUUCCUGUCAGCGUUUUUGAGUCUGUCAUUGAUAUAAUCAAUGGAGAGGUAAUACCCUACCCUUCAACCCUCAGAUCCUGCUCUUGGCCUCUUUCCUGCUUUUGAUUCUCCCUUUGUGGGUUACCUUGCCCUGUAGGCCACAAUGCUGUUUGCUGAGCUGACCUACACUCUGGCCACAGAGGAAGCGGAACGCAUUGGUGUAGACCACGUAGCCCGAAUGACAGCAACAGGCAGUGGAGAGAACUCCACUGGUAAUGGAGGGGAUUCCUUGGAAGUGGGGUUGGAAGGUGUGGCCACAUCCCAUCUCAACCUCCUCCUGUCCUCAUCCCCUUGCAGUGGCUGAACAC